UAUAGAGGUAAGUUGUUCCUCUUUCUUAUUUAAUUUAUUAAACAAUGAAUCUGCAUUCCAAUAUUUGAUUCAUAACAAUUAUUCAAAAUGUAUUUGUAAAGGGAAAUAAAAAACCCCAAAGCUUUCUGUAAAAAUGUUUUCAAUAGCUAUUUGCCCCCUGGCUAUAUAGAAUAAUCGUUAAGUUUAAGAUUAUAUUGUAUUUAAUUUAUUUUUAUUAUCGCUCAUAUUUUGGUUCUGUGCUUUCAAUGAAUAUUCAUUACAAUAUCAUCUGGAAUGAAGUGAAGACAGAUCUUCCACUGUUAACGUAUUAUAUAUAUACUCGAAAAUUGUUUUUUUUUUUUUUAAAGUGUAAGGAGAAAACUCUGCUGUAUUUUUUUCAUUAAAGACAUUUUACAUUAUUAAUCGUUUAAUAAAACUUUUCAGUAUUUUUCACAGUAAUCAUUGUGGGAGCACAGAAAUGAAGUUAUAAUCUCUGACUUCAAAAACAUAAUAGCUCCAUGAAAAGAUGAUACAUUUAAAGCACUCAUACAAACAAGCCAAACAAUACAAGAAGAAAUGAGAGAUUAGCCACAUCCUGUAUAUGAAUCAAGAAAGUCGUGAUACUUUCACAAGCAUGCGAUUAAGUAUGGAACACAAAAUUGGUAUAUAAUUGCUGACAGAAUCAAAUAAUUACCUAUACAAUGAUAACCAAGUGAUAGCAUUUCUAUAAAAAUGUCAAAACAUACUAAAUUAAGCACUCUAAUAUUGAUAUAAAGCAAAAUUUCCAUUUUCCCUAAUUUACAAAUAAUGCUCAUUUAUACAACCUUUUAUUCCCUGAAUGGCAAAAAUAGACUAGUUUUAGUAUCAAGGAAGAGGAAACAUUCAAAAAAAUUAUUUGGUUGUCAGUUUUCUUAGACAAUUCCAAAAAUGCCACAUGCCUACACAAUGAUUAAUACUCCAGUUACCCAUGCUACCUCGGCCUUUGAGGUGACGAUGUUGUAAACACGACAGAUGGUGGACUGAGCACGUGCAAGUAGUGAGGUGGCCAGGGUGCCAAGCACAGUUACGGCAGAGCUUUCCAGGUGGACGGUGCUUACAUGGACAUGGUCUCCCUGGGCUCCCUCAGCAGGUCCCUGACUCUCCCUGUCGGAUCAGCACUCCACUCAGUGUAACCCCGUACAGCUGUCAGCCUCCAGAAGGGAUCGGAUGAAUUUCCAUACUAGGUGAUCUUUCUUAUAUCACAGAAAAAUGUGCAUUCAUUGAAUGGAAUCCCUGUUUAAUAAGAGAAAAAAUGCAUUUAAGAAUAUCUGACUCCUGUACUCAAGGGUAUAGGACUUGCCAAAAAUAGGAGUUAAAACACAUAUUCUAUUGUGUUUCAUCCCCAGAUAAUCUAACAUAAUAGUAGUUACCAUAGUUCCUCCUUUCUUCAAUUAUUUGAGUAUAACUUCAUAUACUAUAGCAUCAAGCAUAUCAAGUCAAACACAAUGAUGCUUAAAUAGUUUGGUUUUGACCUGUGUUGUUCUAAUACAAUGUCCUCUUUUACCUCAAUCCCAUCCUUUUUUAAUCUAUUUUUUCUUACUUUUUUUUUUUCAAUUAAGGGAAAACUAAAUUAAAAAAUAGUGGGACAUGUUAUAGUAACUUUUUGUUUUCCUAUUAACCUGAUUUUACCCCAGUAUUGCUCUCCCCAUUUUGUUCUGUCUGAUGAUUCUAUAUUCUGUUUUGUUUGAUAGUAUCAAGUUUGAGGGUAUAGGCAACCACUUUGAAGGCAAUAAGAUAUAGUACUAUGACGCCCAUUAUGGUUUGACUAUUAUCUGUUUUUGAAAUCCUGUAAGGUCUCCAGUGUAGGUUUUAUUGGUCUUGUUCUGUACUGUUUUGAUCAAUUCUAUUAUACCUGACGAUAUAGGCAACUUUUUAAAAAAAUAGCAAGAGGCACAAUGGUAACCAUUUUAGAUCACCUGAUAUUCGAUUUUUACAUCGUGUACUAUGCCCAUCGUUUUGUUCUAACUGACUCUGUUUUGUUUAGCCACUUUAGGUUUUAUUCUCUCCAAAAAAUAAUAAUAAUUGUGGGAGUAAAAAACCCAAAAAGUGUAACUGUUAUUAAAAAGAGAGGAAAGGAAGAUGGUCAAAGGGAUAUAACUGCAUGUAUGUUUGAGUGUGUAGGAUGGAAAUCCAUAUUACUGAACUUUUGUUGGAUCAUUGAUCAGCAUUGUGUGCAAUCUCAUUGUAUGAAUGUUCACUUUACAUGCUUUAAUUUUAUAAUUUGGACAACUAUUUCAAAGAUGACAAUAUGUAAUCUAUUAACUAGUGAUAUCUUACUGUAUUUUUUUCCUUGAAAUUCUGUAUUAUUUGUACCCUUUUACUGCUUUUUAAAAUUUUAUUUCCUUUCUUUUUUUCUCUAUAAAUAAUUAUAAAAAACACAUAUUUUAGGCAUUUGAUAUGAAAAACAUGAUACUUCUGCAUUGUUAGAAUCAUCUGUGCUAACAUUGUUAUCACUAUCUGUUUGCUUGCAUGAAUUAAAGGAAAAUGAGAAAGAUAUACAAGUUUAAAGAUAUUCGAUUGUUUAUAUUUGAAAAAUGAAGCUCAGCUAUUUAUUUUUUAAUUUUAAUUUUUUAAAAAAUUUUUGGCACCAGGAAUCGAUUAUUAUUCAUUUUUAAAUAAUCAUUCUCUUUAACCUAGCUAGAAGGGAUAGGGUAAAUAGGGCCACAGUAAGUGUAAAGACUUAAAUUCAGUGCUUAGCCAUUGUAAGUUAGGUCUGAGAUGUUGGCUUAGAAAUAGUCAAAUUCUUAGUGUGUAACUUUGAAAUGGAGGGGACAAUAGACCUGUAAAUAUUCCUCAGCAAAAUAGGAAAUGCCACUCUAAGUAGGACACUCUGCUGAUUAAGCUUAAGCAAAUGUGUAUUUAUAUUUCUAAAAGGAGGCUUGCUGUAUCCAGUAAAUAAACGUGGUUACUCGUAAACAGUGAACAUGUGACAAAUCUUAGUGGAGGGACUGUUACUCUAAGUGUCCUCAGAGUUCAUGUCCUUUCCAGAUCCUUUGUAAUUGCUAAAAAUAAGACUAAAAUUUGAAAAUAUAAUUAUCCCUCAUCAUGAAUAGUUAUAAACUCUUUCCUGCAGGGUAAUUCCUUAGAAUAGAGUUACUUUGAAGGACCAGCGUUAUAAUAGAGAAAUUGAGUUGCAGUUGCCUGACAUAAUUCUUUUAAAUCCCUAUAAAUACCUUUUACUCUUUUUACUUUUAAAUAGCAAUGAUUAUGUUUUAUUUUCCUCUUGUUCUAUUCCAUUAUAAGAAAGCCAAACUGGCUGUGUGUGUGCGUGCAUGUGUGUUUAAUAUAAACAGUAAUUAGACUCUGACUGGGCAGCAGAGAGGUUAAGUGUUCAGUCUGUACUAUUUUAAGACAAGAGAACAACUGCUUUCUCCGUGUUGACAUUUUCAGAAAUCCCAGCUAGUCUGAAGAGGAUUUCUAAUCCAGAAUAAACCUGCCUGUGAUGGAAAGCUGUGGCCCUGGCUUCCUAUGGACAGAGCAGCCCCUUCUGGGUGGGGGUCUCCCCUGCACCGCAAGGACCAUGAAGAGCACUGUCGUCACCACCGUCCACUGCAGCCCUUUCCUCCGAGGUUGGCCCAUUCGGUGUCUCUCUCUUGUGUCAGUCAGUUUUCCCCCACUGCACCAGAACACUUAAGAAAAUGGUCUGAAAGGAAGAAAGGCUUAUUUGGGCUCCUGGCUCAGCCCGUGGUCAGCUACUCUCUCAUUUCUGGAAGUGUGCUGAGCCAGAACAUCAUGGCAGAGCAAAGCCACUCGGCUGAUAGUGGCCAGAGGCAGAAUGAGAGAGGAAUGCAGCAGCGAGGAGGAGAAGAGCAGGAGCGGGGGACAUGGCAUAGGCCACACUCACCCCCCCAGGCCACCUCACGGGUCUCCAUAAUCUCAGAUGGCAUUAAAUGUGACCUCGUCAGUGGAUUCCUCCUUCAUGAUCAAAUCGCUUUCCAAAAGCCCACCUCUGAACACUGUGACAGUGGUAAUCAAGCCUCAUACAUAUUAACCUUUUGGGGGUGACAGUCCAGAUGCUGAUCAUAGCACCUUCAUACCUGAGAUGGCUUUGCUAGAGGACCUAAGAAUAAAUUAACCUACAAAAUAUGUGUGGAGUAACUAUUAUGGUUAAUAUAUACUAUUUUAUGUAUGUCUAUUUAUCUCAUAGUUCAAAAUAUUAAUAUUUUCUGACUAAAAUUAAUGUAGGUUUUGAAACAGUAAGAAAUAUCAAUUGCAGGUAUCUUAUUUAAUACCAUGUAUCAAUGAGUGAAGCAGUACAUUUUAAAUAAAACAAUCAGCUUUUGUGUUAGGCUGGAUUCAAAUCCCACACCACCCUCUUGUUCUCUAUGGCAAACUGAAAAUUUAGUGUAAGCCUUCAAAGUUUCAUUUUAUUCAUUUGUGAAGGUAUCAUAAUUAAUUUAAAUAUCCUUAGUAAGGCAUUCAUAUAUCCCCUUAGAAAUGCUGAGCUUGCUUACAUUUAUAUGUGUCUUAAAUUUGUCAAGCACAAAUGGAAUACACUACUGGAUUAUGAGGUCAUUUGUUUAACAUCCAUUUGUAACAUUAGUAUAGAGGAAAUCGUUCUCUGUAUAUAAGAUAAUUAAAACAUUAAAAUAACUUAUGCUAGUCAAAACUUUAUAAUCAAUAAUAAUUAACAUAGAAUAAAGCAAAAUAAUAUAAAAGUAGUUUAGAUAUCUCUAAACUGUUAAAGGAAUAACUGAGAGAGGACUAGAAAAACAUUUUUAAAAAUUGAUUUGCUGCUAUCCAAUGAAUUCCUUAAGAUUUUUUCUUCAAAGAAUUGGACAGUAAUAUUUUCUUUUAAUACCAAUUUUUCUCAACUAGUGGUGUACAACAUGGUAUCUGAAGCCACUAUGCAAACAACCUGCUAUGAUUGUGUGUGUGUGUGUGCAUGCAGGUGUAUGUGAUGAGUGUGGGUCUUCCAUUGAAGCUAUUCAAAGCAAUAGCACAAAUAUGAGUGUGUAGAUAGAUUUUUUAAUAUUAUUUUUCUCAACCAAAUGAAAAGUUCCACUCAAAAAAAUCAGUUAUGCACCUAAACAUUUUGGAAAAAAAAAAAGAUGGUAAAAAGUCAAAAAGAAAAUAUAAACAUAGAGAGAAGGCAUUAAAAACCUCAGACAAAAUAAUACCACUGGUAAGAAUCAUGUUCCCUAGUCUUUGUUCCUUAACUUUAUCAUAAUGUUUUAAAGUAUAUGAAUCAUUACUGUAGCGAUAAAAUAUUCUAGGCUUGUAACUAUUUUAAAAUUUUAAGGAUAAGACAAUCAGAAAAAGUGUGAGUGGACCAUAGUGGUGCAACUAUUGGAUUUGUUAACGAGAAUAAUAGUUUUAUUCAUUCCACAAAUGAUUAUUGAAUGCCAAUCACCAGCCAAGUAUUGUUCCAGUCAUUUUAGGAUGUAACCGUGACAACAGGUAGAUAUGACCUCUAUUUUUCAAGGAAUCCAAAUUUAUUUUCUUUGAUGUAAGCACCAUUUAAAUUUAGAUAAUUCAAAGAGGGAAAUUAAAUCUUGAACAUAAUAGCUCACUAGCAAGAAAAAUACAUUAAUUUAAAAUUCUGUUUCUGGACAAUUUAACAAAAUAAAAUGUUUAGACAGCAUUUAAUUGUGGUUCUUCUGACUUACAUCCAACAAUAUGGCACUGGAAAGAGACAGAAGCCCUGUUGUGUAUUGUGUUUGUGAUAUAAUCCUUUAGAAUUGUGUAAGGCCCUGUUAAUUGUGAUUACCUAUAAUCACAUACAAAAAUACCUUAUUUUCAUCAGAGUUUCUUUUUUCUCAGGAAAGACUUUCAUAUGUACAUGUGUUAGUCACUUUCCUCUUAGUUGGGACAACUUGCCUGACCUCUGUAACUUAAAGGACAGGUGUUAUAGCUCAGAGUUUUAGAAGACUCAGUCCUCCUUUAGCUUAAACACAGAAGCUGCAUGGUAGAAGGGUCUGGAUUCAGGGAAGGUGCCCACAUCAUGGCUGCCAGGAACAGGAGAGAGAAAGGAAGAGCCCUGAUGGAGAUAAGCUCCUCCGGGUCAUGCCCCAGUGACCUGCUGCUCUAGCCAGUCCCUGCCUCCCAACAGCAAGUCGGCUACAUUACCCCAGGAUACAACUACCUUCCAAAAGCCCCGCCUAUGAGCACUGGAAGUCUUUGGAUGGCACUUUCGAUCUGCACCACAACAGUAUCUUUAUCUCAAUUUUCUGUAAGUUGGUACAUUAUGGGUUUUUCAAAUUGUGUCAGAAAAAUUAGAAAACAAUUUACCCCAGAUCUCAAAUCAUCAUAAUAAGAAAAGCUAUUUGUUAAAUGUAGACCUCAUUACUUUCCACCUAGAAUAAUCAUAAAAAUGGCUGUUUUGUUGCCUUUUCUGGUAUUCAGAAUAUGUAAAAAUUCAAAGAUACUGUCAUUUACUUAGCAAGCAACAAUAUUUCAAAUAAUCAAAAUAUGGGAUUUAAAUAAUGAACCUUAAAAAGAAAUCCCUAAACAAGAACCUAUUGCAGGAAUUGGUAAAUUGCUAUUUGUUGCCAUGAAGUUUGGAUAAUGAAUGGAGAUAUGUUUAGAAAUUUGGGGUAGGACUGUAAAUAAUAUGUUUCUGUGAGCAUGGUAAUUCUGGUACAUUUUAAAAUGAUCACUGAAGCAGAAAUUACCAGGUAAAAAUGCCACAUGUAAUUUUACCUGCUGAAUUAGCUAUGACCUACUUUUUAAUAUUUGUCCACAUUAAGUAGGCUGCAAACCCUCACUAUUCAGCAGAUGACUACCUAGCAGGAGAUAAAAAAUUUUAAUUUUAAUUGAGUCAAAUAGAGGUAGUAAUUCUGCUUUAAAAUUCACACAUGAAUAGAUCAUUGACAUUUGAGCAUCACAGGAGGGCUGUAUUUCAUUGAUGAAACACAUAUUUGAAGGCUUUAUGUAGCUAAAUAUCUCCUAAUUUCCCAAUUGAUUUUAUGAAAAAAAUUGAAUGAAUUGAGUAAUAACAUAAUAUCUGAAAUUAUAUUGGAAAGUAAAUGAAAAAUAAAGAGAAAAGAAUUUAAUUCUACAUGAAUCAUUAUUUAACAUUUUUUGCUAAACUUAUAAAAAUUUAAUUCUGAUUAUAUUAGCUGUUGGUAUUAAUAUAGCCUAUAAGUCACCCAAAUCAUUCAAAGGCCCCUUUAUCUAUAAAUAAAACACUAGGAGGUAAUAAAAGUGUAUUUUAUAAAACACAAUAGUGACUUAAGUUUGCCAACACUGAAAUUUCAAAACUUAAUUUUAGUUUUUGAGAAGUAUCCAAAAAUUUAUGUAAAUUAAUAUUUUAUUAUUUCAGAUGCUCAGUGUUUAGUGUACAAACAGUUCUGUUGCAUGUGAAUUACAUUCUUUAUUAUAAAAGGAUUGACCAAGGCAAGCACAUUUUAGUAUUUACAGUUAGUUAUGUGAAUUUAGGGAGAGUAAAUUUUGUUAUUUAACCCGGUUAAAUGUUUAACUUAGUCCAAAGCAUUAAGAUCCUGUCCUAGUUACUUUUCUUGUUGCUGAGGCGAAAUAACUUACACCUACUUUUAAAGGAGGAAAUUAUUUACAGUUUGUAGAGGUUUCCACCCAUAGUUGGCUGGUUCCAAGGCAGAGUGGCACUUGAUAGAGAUAUCACAGAGGAGAACCAGUUCAUGGCAGACAGAAGACAGCAAAGAAACAAAAGUAGCAAAAAUGUAUCAAGCAAUCAAACCACAACUGUUUUCUGUCCUUAUAUUUUAUCCAGGCUCCAUGCCCUUAGGGUGGCACUCACACCCAGGGUACUCCAUGCCCUUAGGGUGGCACUCACACCCAGGGUGCUCCAUGCCCUUAGGGUGGCACUCACACCCAGGGUGUUCCAUGCCCUUAGGGUGGCACUCACACCCAGGGUGCUCCAUGCCAUUAGGGUGGCACUCACACCCAGGGUGCACCUUCCCAUUAUCCAUGCCAGACCAACCAGUGGACCUAGUAAUCACACACCCUUAAUCCCCGCAUCACACUUAAUCUAAGCAUCACAUGGUCUAGAAUUGGGCACCUCUGAAAAGCCCCACCUAUGUGGUGAAAUACCUAGACAAGGCUGUCACAGUUUUCUACAGGGUGAUCUCUGCAUUUUAAAUUGCUCUCCUUGUUAUUAAAAAAAAGUAUUUGUUCAUACAUUACAGAAGCACACUUCUAUUAUUAGCUAAUAUUUCAAGUACAACACUUUGCUGAGGCAAGGUUUGUCAUUAAUGAUGGUAGACAUAAAUCAAUGUGUUUCAUGUUUUUGAAUACCUUCUCACUUUCUUGUCAGAUUUAAUUAGAUCACUGUGUCUUCUGCUGCAUGCUCGAGAUGAAGAAGUUGUCCUAUUAGAAGUACUAGUCCAGCCAUUCUCUUGCGGUCUUUCUGUGUUUGGCUUUGGAAGAAAUUUUUAAAGCUGUAUUUACAAAGUUACUUAAGCAGACCAAUCCACGUAACCUGGGACAGUCUGUAAUAUGCAGAAGGCAAAUACGUGGUGUGUGAGGGGGGAGGACUUCCCUGCCAUCCUCCUGUGUGCAGCGGCUGCCCCGCUGUCAGGUCCCUCUACCUGUGCAUGAAGGAGGACCAAGUCACCCACUCAGUAAAGCAACCAGCACCUAACUACACAUACACUCUAGCUAUUGUAAAAACAUACUUUACUUCUUCUUCUUUUAAAACUAAACAGUGAGUGGUAGCAUGUUUUUUUUUUUUUUUAAACCCCAUGCAGACUUUGGUACAUUCCCAAAGAACAUGGCUCCAGAGACAGAAUAUGAAUGUAAAACAGUGGUAGUCAGUGUUUAAAACAGUUUUAAUUGUCAUUCCAGUGCACAGGAAGGCCUCAAUAUAUUUAUAGAGAAAGUUCGGUCAUCAAAUUUUUUUUUUUUAGUCUUUUUCGUUUUUUAUCACUACCAGGGAUCGAACUCACGACAGCCUGCUUGCAAGGCAGGCGCUUAUGCCGCUGAGCUAAAUCCCCAGCCCCAGUCAUCGAAUUUUUGAAUCAGUAAUUUUACUGCAGGAGAAAAAAGACAUGCAGAUAUUUUAUUGUGAUAGUGAUAAUGAUGAAGACCUGUGACAACCAUUUUGUCAUGUGGAUACACUGUACUGUGGAAAAUAAUUAUAACAUCUGUAAAAAUCUAGUUGAGAGCAGUUUGGGGAACCAGACAGAAUAUAUUUGAAAUACAUUUUAACUAAUUACUUCAACACAGUGUUUUCUAUGUUCAUCCCAUAAGUGCAUUGUACUCCUUAAAUAUCAAGUUUUAUUUCUGAUUCUACCUUCCAGAGCUUUUCUCCAUGAAAAGUUACUUUUUAAGUGAAUGAGAGCUCACAUGUGCCACCCUGCCAUCGAACCAGUCAACUAUGGGUGGAAACUUCUAUAAACUGUGAAUAAAGGCUUGGGAAGAUAUGAAAAAGUGAAGAGAUUUUCUUGCUUUUCUUUCCAGAUUUUGCCUCUUCUUUUAUGUGUGGAUGCAUUAUGUAAAAAGCCAUCCUUAACUCCAAGCAAGGAGGUGGCCCAUUGUUGUUUUAAGAUUUUAGAAAACUUGGAUAGUAAAAUUGCUUUGGCUUAGGCAGUUGGUAAAUCAUUUCUGCUUUCCUUUUGCCCCAUUGUAAGCAAAUUUCACAGUAUAAUGCUUAGAAAAUAGCUUUUUCUUGGGUGAAAAAUCAGAGUUUACUAGCAUUGGUGCUACCAGUGCUAGUAAACUCUACCAUAUUGGAAGGUGAUCUGGUUUUCAGUGAACCUCAAAGCAGUGAUUGUGACCUCCACUGCAGUUCUAGUUCUAACCUCGGAUUCAUUAGUAUAUUUAUAGGAUGAUAUGUUUAUUUAAGUUAAAUUUUCAAGCUAUAAAAUACAUAUCAUUAAGAAAAACUAAUAAUACCAUUGUAUUUUUACAUCAUAUUAUUUCAGGGUAAUUUUAUAAUGGCAUGUUUAGAUGUGUUCACAAAAACAUAAGAAUGCUUAAAAUACCAAUGAAGAGUGUUAAAUUUCUUAGUAGUUGUAUUUUGAAAUGAAAUCAAAGAGGAAAUAAUGGUUAAAAUAUUUCCCAUUUAAUAUCUUAGUUUUUAUAAUAGCUAACUGCUACACUUGUCCCUAGUAAUAUAACAUAUUGUAUUUAACACUUAUAAAGUUGUCUGUUUAAACAGAGGGACAGAGACAGAAAUAGAGACAUCACUCAUACACCCAAACUUCUGGAAACUCACUCAAGAAGCUUUGGGUAAGCUAUGUUGUGCUAUCUGAAAGUAAACAUUUCGAGUGAGGACACAGAGGACUUCACUGUCAGCUUUCCACACAUUAAUCACCCUCUUUCCCUCUGUGAUUCCACGGUGACUGCAGCCAUCAGCACCAUCUGAUGGCAUCCAAGUGAAUCUCCUUAGCCUUGCAGCCAGCCCUCUGCCCGAAGUGUGCCUGUGACCACUUUCCCCAGCAGUCUGCACAUUGCUUCAAGAUAUAAAUAUUUCUCUUUUGUCUCCGCAACCUCAUUGCUCCACUGUCUGUCACCCUUCACCAUCCCUUGCAUCCCCAAAGGACAUAUUGGGUUAUUGUAGGAGGUGACAGUGUGAGCUGGUGGGGACCCAGCGCCUCCUAAGAUGGCAGGAGCCUAUUCUAGGGCUUCCAUAUGUACAGUCUUUACCAUUCCUCAAAACUCAACUGUCUCACUUUUUACAGAUGAGGAAACUACUGAUGCACAGAGAAGUUCGGUAAAUUGCCCAAGGUUAGACAGUUCUAAGAGAUAAAUUCAAACCUCAGCAGUUUAAACAUAGCUACACAUGUCUUUUGAUGUUAAUGUGCUCAGAGGAGAACUUGUGAUAUGUGUCAGCGUUAAAUCUCUCCUGCUGUCCGUAAAUUCCUCCUUUAACUGAAAUCCUCUAUGGCUUAGAUUAAGCCCCUGGCACUUUCUUUGGUAGGGAAAAUCUACCGAAGGGUUCUUUAUAUACUUACAGGGAGUUUGGAAGUCAUUCACUUGACUACAGGCUCAAAAACAUAAGCGCUUUUAACCUUUCCCUUCAGAUCUUAUGUCUGACUUCUGUAAGUGGUUUUGGUAGACUACUCUGCUAGCUUUUUACCUUAUAUAAAUUUCACCCAUGAGUGUAACUGCGUGGUAGAUUCCCUUUGAAUCAGGAGCGGGGCACUCCUGGAGACCUGCAGGACAGCCGCGAUCUACAAAAUACCUUCCUAUUAUUAAUUCACUCAGUCCUCCCAACUUUGUGAAUCCUCCAAGCAAGAUAUAUAGUAUGCAGCCUACUUUUAAGGUAAAUAAAUAGGCAUUAUAAUCUGUCAUACCCUUUUGAUGUUAGUCUAUUUCUACUUAACAUUUCUUUGUACCACCCAUAUGCUAUAGUAUAAAUUUUCCCAUAUUUGUUUUGUAUUCUUCCCAAUUCUAGUUCUAGGUAACUCUACCAAACCCAGAACUCCAAAUUAUUCAGUGAUACUCAGACAUUCCCCACUCCCCUGUAAGUCACCUACGGCCUUUACAUCUUUACUGUUAUUUAACUCAAUAUCCAUAAUUGUUUGUAUUCUCACUUAAUAUGAUCUCAGUGCACUCAUGGUACUGAGUUUUCCUUUAAAUAUCCCUUAGCCAAAAUGCCCAUAAGCAGUGAGUUUAUCUUUAUCAGGGUGUCAAAAAACACAAGACCAAACUCAUUUGUACAGGGAUGGGAAUUUGAAAAAGUGAACAGAUGAAUGAGGAUGAUGAUUUUGAUGAACUGUUUUUUGAGUCUGGCUCAAAUUAACGAUGAUUCCAUUUGCUAAAUGUGCCUGCAUUUUGAUCACACAUCAGAAGAUGAAAUUUAGAACUUCUAAAAUAGAAAGUUACUCACGAUGUCACAGAUCCUCUUUUUCCCAUUCAACCACAUUUCUAAACUAAUGCUUCACAUUCCCUGGUAUUUUAGUCCUUUUCCUGAAUGAAUACAACAAAUACAUAAAUGAGGAAAAGUGAAUAUUAAAUAGAGUGACGUUAGGUAGAGCAUCCUCACUUCACCUUUCCGCUGUCACUUGGACAGACAAAUAGCAUGACGAAUGGCCGAGAAGUCACAUUGCAGCCAGUGUUUCUAGUGGGUCAGCUGGAUGAUUUAUUCCAUCAAUGUUAAAAAGACAUACUUGUUACCUUUCAUAAUCCUUUGUGGAGCUGGAAUCAUUGGUAGUGGAAAGAAAGGUUUAAAAAGUAGAGGUUGGAGUAAUAAUUAAAUCCAUAAGGUCCUCCUAUGAUUUAAUAUUUCACUAGCUCUUGCAUGUUUAAUGGACUUAAACAAAGAUCUUCCACUAAAAACACGAAGGAGACAGGUUCCACCAGAGGAUGUUAUAGCAUUGAUGGCAACAAGGUUUGGAGUUGAUGUACAUCACUGAGGACUGAAGCCUUAGUCUACGUCUGCUUGGAAAAAGCAUUUUAAAACUACAUGAAUCAGUAAAAAAUUGCUGUGUGACUUUAGAGUUUGAGAUGAGCCCCCCAUGAGAUGAGUCCCCAGUUUCUUCAUACAGGCCUGCAUCUUUUGUGAACUCCUCAGAUAUUUUUUCAAGUAAGCAACUGUUAACUACUCUUAAGUUUGACCUUGCUACUGGGCAAUUGACCCUAAAUGCUGACUUUUGUGGGAUUAAGAUUCUAAAUUAAAAUUCUAUUAAAAUAGGUUGAAAUUAUAUGACAGACUAUGAACUAGCCACUUUCAUACUUCUGACAUCGAAUUAUUUAAGUUUUCAGGCUUUUAAGGAGUUUUUGGUCAGAUUUUGUCCUAGUUCAUUUUUAACACAGUGAUACAUUUUUCCUGACUUCUUAAUGUGAUUUUAUAUUUUUUAAAAUGUUAUUUUCUCCUUAAAGUCAACUGCUUUUAUUUAUAGUUAUAUAUUUAUUGAUAAAACCAAAAUUUACACAGAAAUAGUUUAAAAAUCUCUAUGGUUCCAGACCCCCCGCAAAAAGUGUUUAACAGUAAGGUGGGCAUGGUGGUGUACUCCUGUAAUCCCAGCCCUCAGGAGGCUGAGGCAGGAGGAUGGUUGCAACUUUAAGACUAGCUCAAGGCCAGCCUAAACUGCAUAAUGAGACUCUGUCUCAAAAAGACAAAAACAAAACAAAGGAACCUAUGGUUUCUGCUAUUUAUGUGAGUCCUCUCCUUUUUUUAAAAUUUUUUUUGUCUUUUUCCUUUUUAUCGGCACCAGGGAUCGAACUCACGACUGCCUGCUUGCAAGGCAGGCGCUUAUGCCACUGAGCUAAAUCCCCAGCCCCGAGUCCUCUCCUUUGAGGUAACAGUGAAAACUAUUUUUAUCAUCAGUGCUUUGGAAUUUGCUGCUGGAGUCUGUGAGUUGUUGAACAGUUGGGGAAAAUUUGCCACCCGCCUUUCAGGGCACGAGAAUCGUCUGGCCCUUCCUCCAGCUUUGCUUCUGAUUUUGUUUUGUUUUUGUUUUUGUUUUUGCACCUGCUUUUCAAUUAGCCUUUCAAUGUGUUGUGUGAUAAUUUGUCUCCUAUCUUCAUACUAUCCAUUUGUCCUGUGAUGAACAUGAGUAGACCAUCAAAGAUGUCUUGGGGCAAACAGCUACACUAGCAAAUUGUUGUAGGAUAACAUAGAUAUAAAGUUGAAGGGCCAAGAAGAGCUACAAAAGUCUACUACACUGCCUUUCAAAGUGAGCGUUUUGCACAUGUGCCUCAGAUCUCACAGUCACUUGUCAUGUUUUAUCUCAAUCAGCCAAAUUUACUUUUCUUUCUGAAAUAAAUUGGGAUUACUCUAGAAAGUUUGUUUCAGGACUAGGGAUUAGCUUAAUGGCAUAGUGCCUGCCUGGCAAGCAUGAGGUCUUGAGUUCGAUUCCUGGUACCAAAAGGAAAAAAGGUUUAUUUGAAAAUGGGUAUGUUAAGUAACACAGCUGAAAAUUACUACAUCAAGAUCAGCCCAGUACUUGCUUAGGCCGACUCAUAGUGGACAUGUGAGUGAUGUUAGUCUGCAGUGCUUCCACUUGAAUAGUUAUGCUAAUCACGAAGGCAUUGAAGCGAAAAUUAAUAUCUGUACAGAGCCUAUUGUGAGUCCCUGAGGUGGCGGCCAAUCUAAGCCUUUUUUGCCUCCAGGAAAUGCGAUGCUCUUUGUACCAUCUGAGUCCAUGGUAGUCCAUUCUCCUUGCCUGGUAUCUGUUAAAGCCUUGUGAAUAAUAUAUCUAAGAGGUGUGAAAUGAGUCUUGCCAGAGGCUUCAGGAAGGGUCUACUCUCCCAUAAGAAGGCAGCGGUGGGAACGGAGGGCAUUGAGAAUGGAAGAGUCAACAAUGAAGAGAACAUCGGCAUUAAGGUAUCUUAGUGACACUGAAUUAACCACCUGUAAAAUUACCUCACAUGUGCAGUGUUUACCGUGUGCAAUAUUAUACUUCCUGCCUGAGAAGCCAUAUGAGGCAUUUUAAUGGUCUUAUACUGAAAUAAUCCUGAUAGACAUUGCAACAGAUAGAGAGAAAGAAUCAUAGGAUGUAAUAUGUACUUCUGUUUAUCAGACACUGUACUAAGCAGUUUCUAUGUCUCAUCUGUUAUCCAUAAGGUUAAGUGUUAUCCUUACUUCACAAGAGUAACUAAACCUCAGAAAGGUUUGGUAAAUUACCGUCGACUUCGUAAGUCUCAAAAUGAAAUUUGAAGAUAUUUUUUUCUAAUUUAGAAGUUACUCCACAGUCUAUAUAUAUAUAUAUUUUUUUUUUUUUUUUGAAUGUGUGGAGCCAUUUCAGCAGAAUACAUUUAGGCAAGGAAUGAGUGCUUAGGUUUUCUUCUGACCUCUAUUCCCCUCCCUUAGCCAGAGUGGAUCAGAUGUUUAUGUAAUAGUCUCACCAUCAUUCUGAACUUGCAGUUGCUGGAAUCUGACCCUUCUGAUGUAUGAGGAUGCUCACUAUGUUAUAGAAAUAGAAUCAUAUAUAAAAAUGUGUGACAUUUUAAAAAAAAAGUGCCCAUUGGGGUUUUAAUAAUGUAUUUUGGGAAGAGUGCUAUACUCCAAACAAUCUCUUAUUAAUUUGUAAGAUAAAACUCUGGUAUCAGUGAUGAUAAAAUAGCCAGGCAUAUGCAUUACUUACAAUAAUCAAUGCUCCUUUCAGAUCUAUGAAAUUGUUUCAAUUCUCUGCAGAUUUUAUCAGGAGAGUGAGAUAAUGGUUAAUAUUUACGGAAAUCCAAUUUGAAUAUAGUGACAUGAUAAGUAUAUAAAGCUUUAGUGGCUAUAUGAAUUUUUGUAUUCAAAGAGUUAUUUACCUUUUGUCAUUUCCACCUAGAGACAACUGAAGAAUUUCUUGGAGAAAACAAAAAUGAAUGUGUCAUCUUGACUUUACAUCACAUUUGUUCAGCCCUUGCAGUAUUUCCAGCCUAGUUCCCUGCUAAAAAAGAAACGUGAAUGCUUAUUUAUUUUUGUGAAUGCUGUGGAAGCAGUACAGUUGUUUAAAGUAGUUAAAUUAUAUUUAAUGCUUAUGGUAGGGUCCAUGAACGUCCAGUGAUUUCUCUCAGCCUUUCUCCUUAGAUUAUAAUCCUAUCCAAAGAAAAUAAUGUCAUUGUUAGUCUCUUCGACUAGUUAGAGGAAAGGAAGUCUAUGCUACAAAAAUUAUUGAUAAUGAAAUGGAGCAACAAUAGGCUAAGCAUUUUUAAAAGCUUUGAAAGCUACUAUCAUUGUUUAAUCAAUCUAGAUAAGGCAGUGAGUAGCACACAUCCUGUGAGCCUUCCUGGGAAAAGCAGGCUCUUCGUGUUAGACUGGACUUGUUGGCAGUAGCCCAGAAGGCUGUCUUCCCCUACCUGGUGAAUUCUUUAUCUCUGUCACUAUGCCAUGUACCUAGCUGCCAAUUUAGUCUGAAAUUUUGAAAAACCUUGGAAGCACAACUAACGUUAAACUGAACUUCAUUAUGAUAUUAAUAACUAAAGCAUUAGAAAGUUCAGCUUCCUGGUUUUGUACUUGUAAUGAGAAAUGAUAUUUGAUGAUUUUUAUUAAUUUUUUCCAAUCUAUAUUUUAAUAUAUUUCACUUAAUUUUAUCUAAGUGUUAUAGAAUAAGUGCCCAUCAAUGUUAAUUCUUCUGCCUUCUGUGGCUGUCACAGUGUUUGACUGUAGGCUUUGUUAAUCAUACUGUUUUAUAACCCUAUUAAUACAUGGUGCAAAAUUAAUAAAACUGUGUAAUUAAAGGAUCAUAUUGGUGAAAUUCAACCACAUUUCACCUUAUUAUUUUGAAUAUUCCUGAUACUAAUAUUUUUCAAGUGAGUUGUUUAAAUAUUAAAACAUCUUUGAUGCAUUAAUAGAAAUACGAAUAAUACAUACACUGAUACUGAAAUAUUUU